rnacentral:rRNA from 1 species
GACGUAGGGCGCAAGCGUUGUCCGGAUUUAUUGGGCGUAAAGAGCUCGUAGGCGGUUUGUCGCGUCGACUGUGAAAACCUACAGCUUAACUGUGGGCUUGCAGUCGAUACGGGCAGACUUGAGUUCGGUAGGGGAGACUGGAAUUCCUGGUGUAGCGGUGAAAUGCGCAGAUAUCAGGAGGAACACCGGUGGCGAAGGCGGGUCUCUGGGCCGAUACUGACGCUGAGGAGCGAAAGCGUGGGGAGCGAACAGG